UACGUAGGGUGCGAGCGUUGUCCGGAAUUACUGGGCGUAAAGAGCUCGUAGGUGGUUUGUCGCGUUGUUCGUGAAAUCUCACGGCUUAACUGUGAGCGUGCGGGCGAUACGGGCAGACUAGAGUACUGCAGGGGAGACUGGAAUUCCUGGUGUAGCGGUGGAAUGCGCAGAUAUCUGGAGGAACACCGGUGGCGAAGGCGGCAUCCUGGACCGGUAUUGACGCUGAGGAGCGAAAGCGUGGGGAGCAAACAGG
rnacentral:rRNA from 1 species